GAGGGUAUAGCUCAAUGGUACAGUACAUGCUUAGCAUAUGCCAGGUCCUGGGUUCAAUCCCUAGUAUCUUCA
rfam:Camelus ferus unplaced genomic scaffold scaffold2169, whole genome shotgun sequence.